UUGGCUAGACCUGUCCUUCUAUCCUAGUCAGUCUUCGUUUCUGUUCCUUCCUCUCUGCUGCUCUUCCCUUUCUUCCUUCCUUGCUUCCCUGCAAGCCUCUGCCGCUCCCCAGCGCCGCGGGGCCGCCGGCUGGCCCGCGCCCCCUCAGCUGCGGGCGGCAGGAGCCCGCUCACUCACGCGGCAGGUAGCGAAGCCUUCCAUCUACCGAGGUCGCUCAUCCUGUUGGGGUGGGAAGGAGGCUGAUCCGCUGAGGGCUUUUGAGAAUCACAGCUGUCUAUACGGCAAAUAAUUAGGGACCCAGAAUUUUACAAAGGAGGGAAACUGUUCCGUACUGCCUUUCAUCCAGGUGGGACGCGCCGGAGCUGGCUGCGAGCAGCUCGUUAGGGAGCCACAGCACUGUUCUGCCUCUAAGAGCCAGCGUUUGCAUCUCAGUCCGGCGUUUCCUUUGUCGUGUUUGUGUUUCUCUGGAUGAAUAUUUUGAGGAGUAAGUUUUGUGCUUUUGUGUUAAUUCAAGGGGAAGAACGUGGUGAAAUAUGAAGUGUUGUUUGUUGGUUACAAUACUUUCCAUGCGCGUCCGUGUGCUGCUUCUGGCUGACAGAGUAAUGGGCGCGUCUGCUCCCUCACCUCCCAACAGAUCAAACUGGGUUAGGUAUAAAAAGAUUAAAGAAAAAAAAAAAAGCAGAAAAACAGAAUGAAUCCUCAGUGCUUUUGUAGCUGGGCAGUUCACCCUUGACUGCCCUCCCCGACGCCGAGGCAUUCUGCCGGCUAGCAUCCCGCGGGCCCAGGAGCUGCCGGGUCACGUGCCGGCCCCGUUUCCUUGGAGACGGCGCCGUGCCGCGCAUCGGGAUGCCGCGCGCCGGGAUGCCAGCUCGGCGGAGGACCGGGGAGCCGCUCGCCGCCACCACAAAGGGCGAGAACAAAGUCAUCGUGAAGUAACACCUCAACCCCUGCCUUGCUCCCAGGAAGAAUUAUUAUUAGCAGAUCGUUCAUACCCAUGCGACGUUUCAGCGGCAAGCAGCAGAACUGACCAGGACAUUUUGUCACCAGAGGUGAUACGCGUAUUGCAAAUCACUGGAAAGAAACAGGCGUAAUAACGAGCUCGUAUUUGUGCUGGUGUCUCGGAACAGUUACUGCUAUUUCAUUUACAUGCCAGAGAUAGCAGCCAGCUGAAGAACGCUCUUUAAUGUCUUUGUCAGAGAUGUUGCAUACAAAUAAAUUGGCUGUGACAUAAAAAAACAAUGAAAA